UGUACAUGGCCGUAGAGUUGUCAGCUAAACGUAACUGCUAGUAACGCUUCAUGCCAUGUUAGAGCAAUCAAAACUCCCAUUUUACUACCAAUUUAGCGAUUGUUUCUCCUGGGAUGUGCAAUGCAAAUGUUCGUUACGAUUUUUAAGUCUAAAUCGCAAACUGCUGAUAGUUGCAUACAUUG